rnacentral:rRNA from 2 species
UGGGGAAUUUUGCACAAUGGGGGAAACCCUGAUGCAGCGACGCCGCGUGAUUUAGAAGGCCUUCGGGUUGUAAAAAUCUUUUCUAUGGGAAGAAAAUGACAGUACCAUAGGAAUAAGGACCGGCUAAUUACGUGCCAGCAGCCGCGGUAAUACGUAAGGUCCGAGCGUUGUCCGGAAUCAUUGGGCGUAAAGGGUACGUAGGCGGAUAAGCAAGUUAGAAGUGAAAUCCUAUAGCUCAACUAUAGUAAGCUUUUAAAACUGCUCAUCUUGAGGUAUGGAAGGGAAAGUGGAAUUCCUAGUGUAGCGGUGAAAUGCGCAGAUAUUAGGAGGAAUACCGGUGGCGAAGGCGACUUUCUGGCCAUAACCUGACGCUGAGGUACGAAAGCGUGGGUAGCAAACAGG